AUACCUUUCUCGGCCUUUUGGCUAAGAUCAAGUGUAGUAUCUGUUCUUAUCAGUUUAAUAUCUGAUAUGUCCUUGGGCAUGCAGGUGUGUACUGAAAUUUGGUUCUUGUGACAGUUUGCGUUUUGUUUUCAUAUGGAUCGCCUUCAAUGCUGUUGAUGCAAGUCUAUUGACACGUUGUUGAUUGCUG
rfam:Triticum aestivum genome assembly, contig: Triticum_aestivum_CS42_TGACv1_scaffold_514875_6BS